GCCGGGCAUGGUGGCUCAUGCCUGUAAUCCUAGCACUUUGGGAGGCCGAGGUGGGCGGAUCACCUGAGGUCAGGAGUUCGAGGCCAGCCUGGCCAACAUGGUGAAACCCCAUCUCUA
ensembl:misc_RNA Metazoa_SRP Metazoan signal recognition particle RNA